GGAGCAUGUGGUUUAAUUCGAAGAUACACGAAGAACCUUACCUGGCCUUGACAUGGUAGGAACCUUAAGAGAUUAGGGGUGCUAGCUUGCUAGAACCUACACACAGGUGCUGCACGGCUGUCGUCAGCUCGUGUCGUGAGAUGUUGGGUUAAGUCCCGCAACGAGCGCAACCCUCGUCCUUAGCUGCUAACAGUUCGGCUGAGCACUCUAGGGAGACUGCCUUCGCAAGGAGGAGGAAGGUGAGGACGACGUCAAGUCAUCAUGGCCCUUACGGCCAGGGCUACACACGUGCUACAAUGGGGCGUACAGAGAGCUGCGAUACCGCGAGGUGGAGCCAAUCUCUUAAAGCGUCUCUCAGUUCGGAUUGUUCUCUGCAACUCGAGAACACUGAAGCUGGAAUCACUAGUAAUCGCCAGAUCACGCUAUGACUGCGGUGAAUACGUCCGGUCUU
rnacentral:rRNA from 1 species